AUAGUUAAACGGCCGCGGUAUCCUGACCGUGCAAAGGUAGCAUAAUCACUUGUUCCUUAAUUAGGGACUCGCAUGAACGGCUAAACGAAGGUUCAACUGUCUCUUGUUUUCAAUCAGUGAAAUUGACCUUCCAGUGAAGAGGCUGGAAUAACCCAAUAAGACGAGAAGACCCUAUGGAGCUUAAAUUUUUAAUCUUAUUUAUAACCUCAAUUCACCUAAUGGAAUAAAAAUAAUAUUAUAAAAUUAAAAUUUUGGUUGGGGUGACCUCGGAGAACAAAAAAUCCUCCGAAAGAUUCUAACAUAGACUAACAAGUCAAAGUAACCCAAAUUCUAAAUUGACCCAAAACAAUUUGAUCAACGGACCAAGUUACCCUAGGGAUAACAGCGCAAUCCUAUUUAAGAGUCCAUAUCGACAAUAGGGUUUACGACCUCGAUGUUGGAUCAGGACAUCCCAAUGGUGCAGAAGCUAUUAAUGGUUC
rnacentral:rRNA from 1 species